rnacentral:rRNA from 1 species
GCUUCUCUGAUGUUAGCGGCGGACGGGUGAGUAACACGUGGAUAACCUACCUAUAAGACUGGGAUAACUUCGGGAAACCGGAGCUAAUACCGGAUAAUAUUUUGAACCGCAUGGUUCAAAAGUGAAAGACGGUCUUGCUGUCACUUAUAGAUGGAUCCGCGCUGCAUUAGCUAGUUGGUAAGGUAACGGCUUACCAAGGCAACGAUGCAUAGCCGACCUGAGAGGGUGAUCGGCCAUACUGGAACUGAGACACGGUCCAGACUCCUACGGGAGGCAGCAGUAGGGAAUCUUCCGCAAUGGGCGAAAGCCUGACGGAGCAACGCCGCGUGAGUGAUGAAGGUCUUCGGAUCGUAAAACUCUGUUAUUAGGGAAGAACAUAUGUGUAAGUAACUGUGCACAUCUUGACGGUACCUAAUCAGAAAGCCACGGCUAACUACGUGCCAGCAGCCGCGGUAAUACGUAGGUGGCAAGCGUUAUCCGGAAUUAUUGGGCGUAAAGCGCGCGUAGGCGGUUUUUUAAGUCUGAUGUGAAAGCCCACGGCUCAACCGUGGAGGGUCAUUGGAAACUGGAAAACUUGAGUGCAGAAGAGGAAAGUGGAAUUCCAUGUGUAGCGGUGAAAUGCGCAGAGAUAUGGAGGAACACCAGUGGCGAAGGCGACUUUCUGGUCUGUAACUGACGCUGAUGUGCGAAAGCGUGGGGAUCAAACAGGAUUAGAUACCCUGGUAGUCCACGCCGUAAACGAUGAGUGCUAAGUGUUAGGGGGUUUCCGCCCCUUAGUGC